rnacentral:rRNA from 1 species
UACGGAGGGUGCUAGCGUUGUUCGGAAUUACUGGGCGUAAAGGGCGCGUAGGCGGCCGUUUGCGUCGGAUGUGAAAGCCCGGGGCUCAACCUCGGAACGGCAUUCGAUACGGGACGGCUGGAGACCGGGAGAGGAGAGUGGAAUAGCCAGUGUAGAGGUGAAAUUCGUAGAUAUUGGCUGGAACACCGGUGGCGAAAGCGGCUCUCUGGCCCGGUUCUGACGCUGAGGCGCGAAAGCCAGGGUAGCGAACGGG